UACGUAGGGUGCAAGCGUUGUCCGGAUUUAUUGGGCGUAAAGAGCGUGUAGGCGGCCAGGCAGGUCUGCUGUGAAAACUCGAGGCUCAACCUCGAGAUGUCGGCGGAAACCAUCUGGCUAGAGUCCGGAAGAGGAGAAUGGAAUUCCCGGUGUAGCGGUGAAAUGCGCAGAUAUCUGGAGGAAUACCGGUGGCGAAGGCGAGGCGCUGGACCCUUUCUGACGCUGAGGCGCGAAAGCCAGGGGAGCAAACGGG
rnacentral:rRNA from 1 species